AAUUUUUGACAAGGCAAAAUAGUGUUUCAACCAUUAGCCUGACGGAAAAGAAAAUUAUUCCUUUUGGGCAGUGUUUAUAUACGGAACUCUCGAAAUGUAAGCAGAAGGACCAAUAGGUCGAACGUCUGCAACUGGAAUUUUCUAUUAUUUCGAACUAAAACGGGUGGCAGCAGCAUUUAGGGAGCACAUUAUAUCCAACUUUGUCCAAGUCCAAGUCUCCAUAAGGCAUUCGCUUAAGUUGGAUAAUAGUGGUUCGAUUUAUGGAAGUUCAACUGAAACUGUAUCCAUAAAUAAUAAUUAAUAUUCUUUGACUUUUUCCGGCGAAAAAAUACGAUACCAGAAUGUUCAAACCAGAAGUCUCAAACGAACUAAAAGAACCAGGUUUUCCAUUGUUCUGGCAUGGAAAAUUUCCUCGGAAUUUCAAUGUAUAUGAAAGAAACGUCUAUAUAUAGCUGUAAUUUUCGAUAUCGAUUGUGCCCAUAUUGAUAUCCAGAACCCAUUGUAUGCAUCUUUCACAAUAGGGGUCAGGUGUUUUUGAUUGACUAGUGAAAUGACUUUACUACCAGAAGAUCGAUCCUAUAUAAGCCCCGAAACCAGAUUGAUUCUACAGUUCAAAUCGAACAUUCGACCCGAGUCUUUUGAGAAUGAAUCUUAUUUUGGUUUUGGCUUGUCUAGCACUUUAUGUGGCCCACACCUCUGGCCAGGUCAACUGCCGUGGACGUCCCGCGAUCCAGGCAUGCACUGGCGGCCGGCAUGAAGGCCACAACCGAAAUAGGUCCUGUCCAGCGAGAUUCAUGCCCGUAAUGUGGUGGUACAACCCACGCGUCAGGGACUGCCAAACGAUGAGGUACUUGGGCUGUGGGGGAAACAACAACCGCUACUGCUCUCUCGCCGACUGUCGUCGUCGGUGCAUACGCCGCUAGAUACCCGCUCCGUUCCAUCCUGAUGCUGAUCCUUUCUUUUGAUGAAUGCUUUUGAUAUAAAAUAAAUAAUACACUACUCA